rnacentral:rRNA from 1 species
UACGUAGGGUGCAAGCGUUGUCCGGAAUUAUUGGGCGUAAAGAGCUCGUAGGCGGUUUGUCGCGUCUGCUGUGAAAACUGGGGGCUCAACCCCCAGCCUGCAGUGGGUACGGGCAGACUAGAGUGCGGUAGGGGAGAUUGGAAUUCCUGGUGUAGCGGUGGAAUGCGCAGAUAUCAGGAAGAACACCCGUGGCUAAGGCGGCUCUCUAGUACGGUACUGACGCUGAGACGCGAAAGCGUGGGGAGCGAACAGG